rfam:Rhizobium sp. CF142 PMI11_contig_20.20, whole genome shotgun sequence.
CCCCUUCCCUUCCGGUAACAAAAACACUAUAUCACCCAUGCCGGCUUUCGGGCCGGCUAUGGCGAUAAACGGGCGGUGGAAUAAACCUAUUGGACCCGGGGGCGGUACCCGGCGCCUCCACCAAAAGCAGGCGGAUAUCCUUUUGGAAAAGGGCCUGCUUUUGAUGGGGGCGAAAUAGGAUCGACAAGGGUGUAAAGAUCGACUUUUCGCUCGGCAUGAUACCGCCGUUAUCGGGUCACAAGUGUAGUUGCAAACGACAACAACGCUAAGGAAUACGCUCUCGCUGCCUAAUGGCGGUGUGAGAAUUCCGACCUAAGUCCUCUAGGUUAGCCCCUUGAGGCGGGGUCCGAAGGCACCUGGCAACAGAAGCCUUCACC